rnacentral:rRNA from 1 species
UACGGGGGGGGUAAGCGUUGUUCGGAAUUACUGGGCGUAAAGGGCUCGUAGGCGGCCAACUAAGUCAUACGUGAAAUCCCUCAGCUUAACCGGGGAACUGCGUCUGAUACUGGAUGGCUUGAGGUUGGGAGAGGGAUGCGGAAUUCCAGGUGUAGCGGUGAAAUGCGUAGAUAUCUGGAGGAACACCGGUGGCGAAGGCGGCCCACUGGAUCGGUACUGACGCUGAGGUGCGAAAGCGUGGGGAGCAAACAGG